AUUGAACGCUGGCGGCAGGCCUUACACAUGCAAGUCGAGCGGUUGCAGGCCUCUUGCUGCUGGCUUCUGCGGAGGACGGGUGUGUAACGCCUAGGAAUCUGCCUGGUAGGGGGGGAUAACGUCCGGAAACGGGCGCUAAUACCGCAUACGUCCUGAAGGAGAACGUGGGGGAUCUUCGGACCUUAUGCCAUCAGAUGAUCCUAGGUCGGAUUAGCUAGUUGGUGGGGUAAAGGCCUACCAAGGCGACGAUCCGUAACUGGUCUGAGAGGAUGAGCAGCCACACUGGGACUGAGACACGGCCCAGACUCCUACGGGAGGCAGCAGUGGGGAAUAUUGGACAAUGGGCGAAAGCCUGAUCCAGCAAUGCCGCGUGUGUGAAGAAGGUCUUCGGGUUGUAAAGCACUUUAGGUCGGGAGGAAAAGCAGUUAGUUAAUACCUUGCUCUGUUGACGGUACCAAAAGAAUAAGCACCGGCUAACUUCGUG
rnacentral:rRNA from 1 species